rnacentral:rRNA from 1 species
GAUGAACGCUGGCGGCGUGCCUAAUACAUGCAAGUCGAGCGAACGGACGAGAAGCUUGCUUCUCUGAUGUUAGCGGCGGACGGGUGAGUAACACGUGGAUAACCUACCUAUAAGACUGGGAUAACUUCGGGAAACCGGAGCUAAUACCGGAUAAUAUUUUGAACCGCAUGGUUCAAAAGUGAAAGACGGUCUUGCUGUCACUUAUAGAUGGAUCCGCGCUGCAUUAGCUAGUUGGUAAGGUAACGGCUUACCAAGGCAACGAUGCAUAGCCGACCUGAGAGGGUGAUCGGCCACACUGGAACUGAGACACGGUCCAGACUCCUACGGGAGGCAGCAGUGGGGAAUCUUCCGCAAUGGGCGAAAGCCUGACGGAGCAACGCCGCGUGAGUGAUGAAGGUCUUCGGAUUGUAAAACUCUGUUAUUAGGGAAGAACAUAUGUGUAAGUAACUGUGCACAUCUUGACGGUACCUAAUCAGAAAGCCACGGCUAACUACGUG